rnacentral:rRNA from 1 species
AUUGAACGCUGGCGGCAGGCCUAACACAUGCAAGUCGAACGAGUGGCGGACGGGUGAGUAAUGUCUGGGACACUGCCUGAGGGAGGGGGAUAACUACUGGAAACGGUAGCUAAUACCUCAUACCAUCAGAUGUGCCCAGAUGGGAUUAGGUUGUGGGUGGGGUAACGGCUCACCACGGCGACGAUCCCUAGCUGGUCUGAGAGGAUGACCAGCAACAUUGGGACUGUGACACGGUCCAGAAUCCUACGGUAGGCAGCAGGGGGGAAAAGUGGACAAUGGGCGGAAGCCUGAUGCAGCCAUGGCGCGUGUAUGAAGAAGGCCUUCGGGUUGUAAAGUACUUUCAGCGGGGAGGCGUUACCCGCAGAAGAAGCACCGGCUAACUCCGUGCCAGCAGCCGCGGUAAUUC